rnacentral:tRNA from 2 species
AGUUAAUUAACUUAAGAAAAGUUUAUGUCUUGAAAACAUAAAAUUAGAAGUUUAAUUCUUCUAUUAACUU